rnacentral:rRNA from 1 species
UACGGAGAGGGCUAGCGUUGUUCGGAAUUACUGGGCGUAAAGCGCACGUAGGCGGCUUUGCAAGUUAGAGGUGAAAGCCCGGGGCUCAACUCCGGAAUUGCCUUUAAAACUGCAUCGCUAGAAUUGUGGAGAGGUAAGUGGAAUUCCGAGUGUAGAGGUGAAAUUCGUAGAUAUUCGGAAGAACACCAGUGGCGAAGGCGACUUACUGGACACAUAUUGACGCUGAGGUGCGAAAGCGUGGGGAGCAAACAGG